rfam:Dipodomys ordii contig_12318, whole genome shotgun sequence.
AUCCUUUUCUGGUUCAUAAGUGUGAUGAUUGGGUUCUCACGCGCUUGCGUGACAUGUGCCUCCCUCUAAACCUUGUUACGACGUGGGCACAUUACCCUUCUGACG